UACGAGGGGGGCAAAUGUUGUUCGGAAUCACUGGGCGUAAAGGGAGCGUAGGCGGGUUUCUAAGUCAGGUGUUUAAUCCCGGGGCCCAACCCCGGACAGGCACUUGAAACUGGGAAUCUUGAAUAGUGGAGAGGUCAGUGGAAUUGGGGGUGUAGCGGUGGAAUGCGUAGAGAUCCCCAAGAACACCAGUUGCGAAGGCGGCUGACUGGUCACAUAUUGACGCUGAGGCUCGAAAGCAUGGGGAGCAAACAGG
rnacentral:rRNA from 1 species